rnacentral:rRNA from 1 species
CAGAUUGCAGGCUGCAACUCGCCUGUAUGAAGUUGGAAUUGCUAGUAAUCGCGGAUCAGCAUGCCGCGGUGAAUACGUUCCCGGGCCUUGUACACACCGCCCGUCACACCAUGAGAGCCGGUAAUACCCGAAGUCAGUAUCCUAACCGCAAGGAGGGAGCUGCCGAAGGUAGGAUUGGCGAUUGGGGUGAAGUCGUAACAAGGUAGC